CUGGGGAGGGAGGGGAGCGGAGGAGCUUCCCGGCUGUAGCCGGCUGUCUAUUGUAUGAUGUGAAACAGGCAGUGCAGCCAGGACGGGUCUCUCCCUCUCCGUAUGAUGUGUAGAGACAGACUGCAACUAUAGAAGGUCAGCUGUACAGUGUCUGUUGGGAGUGGCCUAUUAUAUGUAGGAGGGGCU